rnacentral:rRNA from 1 species
GCGCUUGGAGAGGGGCCCGCGGCCGAUUAGCUAGUUGGUGGGGUAAUGGCUCACCAAGGCAACGAUCGGUAUCCGGCCUGAGAGGGCGGACGGACACACUGGGACUGAGACACGGCCCAG